UUCGGGUCUAGCGGCGGACGGGUUAGUAACGCGUGGGAACGUACCCUUUUCUACGGAAUAGCCUUUGGAAACGAAGAGUAAUACCGUAUACGCCCUUUGGGGGAAAGAUUUAUCGGAGAAGGAUCGGCCCGCGUUAGAUUAGAUAGUUGGUGGGGUAAUGGCCUACCAAGUCUACGAUCUAUAGCUGGUUUUAGAGGAUGAUCAGCAACACUGGGACUGAGACACGGCCCAGACUCCUACGGGAGGCAGCAGUGGGGAAUCUUAGACAAUGGGCGCAAGCCUGAUCUAGCCAUGCCGCGUGAGUGAAGAAGGCCUUAGGGUCGUAAAGCUCUUUCGCCAGGGAUGAUAAUGACAGUACCUGGUAAAGAAACCCCGGCUAACUCCGUGCCAGCAGCCGCGGUAAUACGGAGGGGGUUAGCGUUGUUCGGAAUUACUGGGCGUAAAGCGCACGUAGGCGGAUUAGAAAGUUAGAGGUGAAAUCCCAGGGCUCAACCCUGGAACUGCCUUUAAAACUCCUAGUCUUGAGUUCGAGAGAGGUGAGUGGAAUUCCAAGUGUAGAGGUGAAAUUCGUAGAUAUUUGGAGGAACACCAGUGGCGAAGGCGGCUCACUGGCUCGAUACUGACGCUGAGGUGCGAAAGUGUGGGGAGCAAACAGGAUUAGAUACCCUGGUAGUCCACACCGUAAACGAUGAAUGCCAGUCGUCGGGUAGUAUACUAUUCGGUGACACACCUAACGGA
rnacentral:rRNA from 1 species